CGAGAUUGCGCCAUUGCACUCCAGCCUGGGCAAUGAGCGAAACUCCAUUUCAAAAAAACAAAAAAAAGUAUAUAAAAUUCUAGCAAGGACUACAACAAAAUUUGACUCCGGGCUCUGAUACUUCAGCUUAUCUCCUCUCCAGAGACCUGUUAACAAAUCUAUUUCUGUCCUCCUGUACUGAUUACCUCUAUCUGCAGAAAGCCCGGGGAAAGCAGAAACAGAAGAUACUCAUGUGGUAAUGAGUUUUGUUUCCAGACAUCCCUAAUAAGGCUGUGUUAUGAAAAUGGAAACAAAACCAUUGCAUUACAAAACAAUAAGCUCGACUUCAGAAGAAGAGAGGAUGACUUGUGGACCAAAACUCCAGAGGAGUCAGGGGAAGGGCUGGAUGGCAUAGAUGAAGCUUUGACCCACCCAAAUAAUGGACAUAUCUGAAAUAGGCACAAAGGAAUAAUGAGAAGAUAAAAAUGCAUAAGUAAACUAGCAUGAUAUAUUCUGG